UACGGAGGGUGCAAGCGUUAUCCGGAUUCACUGGGUUUAAAGGGUGCGUAGGUGGGCAGGUAAGUCAGUGGUGAAAUCUCCGGGCUUAACCCGGAACUGCCGUUGAUACUAUUUGUCUUGAAUAUAGUGGAGGUGAGCGGAAUAUGUCAUGUAGCGGUGAAAAUGCUUAGAUAUGACAUAGAACACCAAUUGCGAAGGCAGCUUGCUAACACUAUUAUUGACACUGAGGCACGAAAAGCGUGGGGAUCAAACAGG
rnacentral:rRNA from 1 species